rnacentral:tRNA from 1 species
GGGUGGUUCAGUGGUCAAGAGCAAUGGCUGCUCUUCCAGAGGACCUGGGUUCAAGUCCCAGCACCCA